CGUCUUUAUCCAAAGACGUUGUGUGGGAGACCACUGUACUCCCCCCGCUACCACCACCUCCACCACAGCCAAAGAAGUUAUACACCGUCUCUGGCGACCACCGACGAAGAAAGCGCACCACGCACACGGACUCAAAUUUAGACACGAAGGAGGACUCUAUUGGUUAACUGCCUUGAACUUUAGCUGUUUUUUAGAUACGUUUUCCAUAUACGAGCUCGUAUUGGCGACUGCGUCCGUUGCAGGUUGUUGACGAAGCCGACAAGGAUUCUCGCCUUACAGCUCGGACAUCCGAUCAUCUUCCCGCUGCCUCUCUCCCUUUCCUGCCACCGCGCGCACAUACUACACAUACGCAAGCAACAAAACGACAAGCAAACAAACAAGCGAAAAAGAAACGGCAACAGCACCAAAGAGACCAUUUAAAAAGGAAAGGAGAAACACACACGCAGACACACAAACAUAUAUAUAUAUAUAUACUACUUGAAAAGAAAAACGCCAACAAUACCAGCGGCAAAAAAAGAAUACCACUCAAGGCUUAACGUAUUCCCUACCUACCCACCACCAACCUCUCCUCCUUUCCCUGCUUCUUACAAAGGCCUCUUGUCGUUUUCAUCGCAAGUGGACGAACCCGCACGAGAGUGGGUUCGCCGUAUUGCCCGCAUCUCCUCUCGCGCAGUGUGCGCCGGCAUUUUGUGUCAUUACUGGGUGAACAGUAAAAGGAAAAAAGGAAAACGAAGCUCUCCCACUGUGUCUUCUGCCGGGUGUGCUUCUCUGCGUCUUUAGCCUGCUCGUUGCCUCGAGUUUGCGUGAAGCUGUAUCUCUCCUUCAUCGCUCUGUUGUUCAUUCCUUCGCUGUAUUUGUCUGCUCCUUCGGCUUCUACUCUUUCUCUCUUAGCGUGUUUGCUUGCCCGUCGCUCAGUCUGUGCGUGUCACUGUUUGUCUUCUCUUCGCGAUCGCCGGUGCCGUUCACCCUCUACGGGAUUCCUACCGCAGACUGCACGUUAGCCUCUGUGGGGUGCCCUCCCGUUUUUUUUUGCUUGUUUGUUUUGGUGUUAUCGACUGUCGUUCGUUGUCCGCUAUGCCGCCGAAACUGAAGCCCCUGCCCGCAAAGAAGUCCACGCUGCCUCCGGAGCUGCCGGAGGAGAGCGAUGAGCUCACUGUGGGAAACAUCCGCGUAGGCCCUCGUGGUGUUGAGUUUACCGGAGAAGGGGAUCUGCAGGUGCGUCGACCAGAUCUCAACUUCGAAAAUCUGAAGCGCGUUCGCCAACUCGGCCAGGGCACGCAGGGCAACGUCUCCAUGUAUGUGACGGCGGACAAGUCUGUCUUUGCAGUGAAGAAGAUCACGAUUCCCGUCACGCUCGACACCCGCACUCGUCAGACUGUCGCCGCAGAACUGCGCAACAUCUUCUCCGCGCAGUCGAACGAGUACACGGUGAACCUGUACAACGCCUUCUACCGUAACCGGGCACUUCGACUAGUAAUGGAGUACAUGGACUGGGGGAACAUAGACGAGCUCAUCGCGGAGAAGGUGAAGAUUCCACCAACGGUGUGCGGCUACAUCGCAUCGCAGAUGCUGCACGCCCUCGCCGUACUACACACGAAAUCGAACAUCGUGACGGAGCCAAAUCAGCACAAGUCCCUGCGCCAGAUCCAUCGCGACAUCAAGCCAGCAAACGUGCUUCUCUCCACCACCGGCUGCGUCAAGUUGGCUGACUUCGGCAUCGCGACAAGUGCCGAGACGAUCGGCGUCAACUCAUUUGUCGGUACAGCGACGUACAUGAGCCCGGAGCGAAUUCAAGGGCGGCGCUACAGCACGCCGAGCGACAUCUGGAGCGUAGGUGUGGUGGUGGCGCAGAUGUUGCUCGGCCACUACCCGUUUUCUUCAGUGAGCAAGGGGUUCAUGGCGCUGCUGCGCGAGAUCAACAGCGUGGAAAAGUAUCCACUUAUGGAUGAGACCGGGUGUAGUCAGGAGACGCAGGACUUCAUCGAUUCGUGUCUUCGACAAGACCCAGAUGACCGGAGCAGCGCCUUUGAGCUGCUGGAGUCUCCAUGGAUUAAGUACUGCGAAGAGCACGGCAAGGCCGAGAUGGUGGCUCUGCUCGCCUCGCUGGGCGAUCGAAACCGGCAAUACCGCGAGGACGACGCCUUGCAGGCUGCAUCCAGGGAGACUUCCAGCCUUUCUCUCCCACGUGACACCUCCGAAACGUGCAAAGCCGACAACCCUCUCGGCAUGUGAGUGCUCGAGGCCGUCUUGAUGCGCUUUCCCGCAUACCUCGUUCUCUCUUUGCUGUAUCUUCGUCUGCUCAUCACCUGUGGCGCAAUACUCCGAAGCUGAAUGCAGGGGCACAGAUGGAGCAUGCGACAUACACAUCAAGGCCACCUUUUGGAAUCUUCGCCUCAAAAAAGGGAGAGAGCGAAAUGUUCACUGUGAACCCCUGCAACACCAGGCCGUCGUAGGUGUUGGCGCGUAAUAUACGCUUCGCGCUUCGCUCUAUACUGCUUCCGCUGGCAUAUAUAUAUAUAUGUGUGCGUAUUAGAUGGCGUUUUUCGAAGGCACAGUAAGCAAGUGUCGGCGACUACGGCGAGUGGCGAGUUGCAGUUGCAAUCGCGGUUGCUCUUGGGUUUAUGGUGUGUGCAAGUAGCGAGCCAUGUCACUCGUAGCCGUUAUUCUGUGCAUGCCCGUGGGUGGGACGUCGUGUGCUGGCACCUGCCUACUGUUUGUUUCGCUUUCGCUCGUUGCUGGAUGCUCUUGUAUUGCUACCGUGUUGUGUGCU
rnacentral:misc_RNA from 1 species